CCAGCCCCACCCACCGGGUAGGAUGUCAUUAGUGACAUGCAGAUGGGGAAGAGGCAGCCGAGUCAGAGCAACUUCUCAAACUGAGGGAGGGGUGUGGUCAGGAAAGGUGAUAUCCCAGGUAUAUUCCAGCUGUUCAAAAGAGGACCCUCUCUCACUGCAGACUGCUGAGGGGGAAAUGUCCUCUUGCAGACCUGACUCUACAAUGCAUUCUAAGUUCUUCUUCUCUUUGAUAUUUUAUCUCUUAAUGGCAGGUGGUCAACUGGAUGACAGGGUCAUUCAACAUCCAAGCUGCCUGGUGUCAAUGACAGGACAGUCUGUGACCUUGGGAUGUGACCCCAUCUCUGGACAUCUUGGGGCAUUCUGGUACCGUCAGAUACUGGGUGAAGUCCCUGAGAUGCUCUUUUCCUUCUAUAAUAAGGGAAACCCAGAAGAAGGAAAAAUCUCUAGUCGAUUCAAAGCUAAACAGGAGAACAAUUUCCACCUCACCCUCACCAUUGGUUCCUUGGAGCAGGAGGAUUCUGCUGUCUAUCUCUGUGCCAGCAGCAAAGACACAGUGCCACAAAGGCACCUCCCAUCUGUUCACAAACCUGUUUGGCCCAAGCCAAAGGGGAGGCAGGAAGCAGGAGGCUGA